rnacentral:rRNA from 1 species
AUUGAACGCUGGCGGCAUGCCUUACACAUGCAAGUCGAACGGCAGCACGGGAGCAAUCCUGGUGGCGAGUGGCGAACGGGUGAGUAAUAUAUCGGAACGUGCCCGGUCGUGGGGGAUAACGUAGCGAAAGCUACGCUAAUACCGCAUACGAUCUACGGAUGAAAGCGGGGGAUCUUCGGACCUCGCGCCAUUAGAUGAGCCUAGGUCGGAUUAGCUAGUUGGUGAGGUAAUGGCUCACCAAGGCGACGAUCCGUAACUGGUCUGAGAGGACGACCAGCCACACUGGGACUGAGACACGGCCCAGACUCCUACGGGAGGCAGCAGUGGGGAAUUUUGGACAAUGGGCGCAAGCCUGAUCCAGCAAUGCCGCGUGCAGGAUGAAGGCC